CACCUGUAUACGGAGUGACUUAAACCCUCCUUACCCCUUUGAUUGUGCCAUCUGCUUUUCUGUUUAGAUUAUAAUAUAGGCUAAAAACCACCUAUCCUAAGAAUAAGGUUUUAAGUCAGGCAGCCACAAAAUUCUCUGAUUGCAGCUACCACAUAGUUCCAUCAUCAUCACAAGACUAAGACUGAAGAAUUCUUUUAAGGCACAAUGGGAGCUCACCAAAGUCUAGAGUUCCAAUGUUUUCUGAGAAUCUGGGAUUUUCCUAUCCAAUGUAAUUCAAGGGACCACUGGCAUUGGUAAACACACUCCUGGAGCACAUCUGUCCUUCCAUUCCCAUCAAUCAGCAACACGAAGCUCUCCAUCUGGUGGGAAGAAGGCAAUCCAGCUUCUCGCGUACUUCUCAAAGAAGUCAUAUAUUUCUCCCAUGAAGGUAAACAGGCUCAGAUAUUCUUCAUGCUAGAACUCGGUUGGAAGUAUCAGCUUUUGAUUCUCCCAGUGGCUAUCACUAUAACUUUAUAAACAAAAAAAAAAAAGGAGAAAUAUACGAAGAUGGUAAUGAAAUAGUAAAGUUAAAAACCAAAUCAAUAUUCACCAUAAGAAACUCUGAAUAUUAUACCUCUAAUUAAUAAAUGUCUUGUUUAGGGAUGCCUGGGUGGCUCA
rnacentral:lncRNA from 1 species